CUGCUCAGACAUCGCCGGGCUCGGCUAGAGAAGGCAGAAAAAAUUCCUCCAACCCCUUCCCCAGACACCUAUGCAGGCCCUACACUCCUGCCUGAACAGCUUUUUUUUUGAAACGGAGUCUCGCUCUAUCACUAGGCUGGAAUGCAGUGGUGCGAUCUCAGCUCACUGCAACCUCCACUUUCUGGGUUCAAGCAAUUCUCCUGCCUUAGCCUCCUGAGUACCACACCAGGCUAAUUUUUGUAUUUUUAGUAGAGACGGGGUUUCACCGUGUUGGCCAGGCUGGUCUCAAACUCCUGAGUUUGUGAUCUACCCGCCUCAGCCCUGCUAAGUGCUAGGAUUCCAGGUGUGAGCCACCGAGACCGGCUGAUUUUAAAAGCCAUCAAGACAUGAAGGGAAGUGUGUCAGAGUGUGCUGGACCCAGUUUCCCCAAUGCCCCAUUUUCCCUGGUCGGUCUUGCACUUUCUAAGAGGUAUGACCUAGAGGCACACCCUGGUCAGCUCAGGCCCCACAUGCCUGCAAAAAUCAGGCUCCAGGGCUCCCUCAUUCAGCAUAGGCUCUGCAGGAAGUCGCAGUGCCAAGUGGCUCUCAGAACUAGCCUCACUAGCAACGUGGCUGCCAUUUCCGUGACCGACAAAAGCAGCUCCCCGAGCCUCCCUCGGCAUUUGUGGUUCCUUUUGUUCCAGCCAGGCACCAAGAAAAAAAAAUGCAGCAUCCGUUUGGAAACAAAGGCUCCAGCAGGCUCUCUCCAGCCUGGACAGCUCACUUUCAUUUGAGUUUCAGCUGAGACACAAAAACGUGUGGACCUCGGUAUCCUGCACUUUGUAUCUGAGCCAUGACUCACUGGCCAGGGAAGAUCUACUGAGACCAGUAUCAAUAAUGGAACGCAAUUGAUUAGAACCUUGAGAAGCCCUAAAUGAAGUGAGAAACUUUUGACUUCCAGUGUAAAAUCCAGAUGCUCAGGUGCAGUGAGGACCCUGGAAGACAGAGAUCCUAGAAAAAGCAGAGGGAGAAGAGGAAGAGAACACAGAGAAACGCCAGGGAACAGAACUCUUGGUCCAGGAGGCAUAAACCACAAGUGCAAUUAGUCAAAAAAGAACUUGAAAUUAAAAAAUGACUCUAAGCUAAGGAGGGGAGUGCAUAAGUUACCGCCGCCUCAAGACAUUUAUGAAUAAUACAAAUGCCGCGAGGUGCUGCGCCCAAGCACAGUUAAUUAAU